rnacentral:rRNA from 1 species
UACGGAGGGGGCUAGCGUUGUUCGGAAUUACUGGGCGUAAAGCGCGCGUAGGCGGACCUGCAAGUCGGGGGUGAAAGCCCGAGGCUCAACCUCGGAACUGCCUUCGAUACUGCGGGUCUCGAGUCCGGGAGAGGUGAGUGGAAUUCCUAGUGUAGAGGUGAAAUGCGCAGAUAUCAGGAGGAACACCGGUGGCGAAGGCGGGUCUCUGGACCGAUACUGACACUGAGGAGCGAAAGCGUGGGGAGCGAACAG